UGAUGCAGCGACGCCGCGUGCGGGAUGAAGGCCUUCGGGUUGUAAACCGCUUUCACCCAUGACGAAGCGCGAGUGACGGUAGUGGGGGAAGAAGCACCGGCCAACUACGUGCCAGCAGCCGCGGUGAUACGUAGGGUGCGAGCGUUGUCCGGAAUUAUUGGGCGUAAAGAGCUUGUAGGCGGUUGAUCGCGUCGAUAGUGAAAUCCCGGGGCUCAACCUCGGGCUUGCUGUCGAUACGGGUUGACUUGAGGAAGGUAGGGGAGAAUGGAACUCCCGGUGGAGCGGUGGAAUGCGCAGAUAUCGGGAAGAACACCGGUGGCGAAGGCGGUUCUCUGGACCUUUCCUGACGCUGAGAAGCGAAAGCGUGGGGAGCAAACAGGCUUAGAUACCCUGGUAGUCCACGCUGUAAACGGUGGGUACUAGGUGUGGGUCGCAUUCCACGUGAUCCGUGCCGUAGCCAACGCAUUAAGUACCCCGCCUGGGGAGUACGGCCGCAAGGCUAAAACUCAAAGGAAUUGACGGGGCCCCGCACAAGCGGCGGAGCAUGCGGAUUAAUUCGAUGCAACGCGAAGAACCUUACCUGGGUUUGACAUGUACUGGAAGCGCUCAGAGAUGGGCGUGCCUUUUCGGCCGGUUCACAGGUGGUGCAUGGCUGUCGUCAGCUCGUGUCGUGAGAUGUUGGGUUAAGUCCCGCAACGAGCGCAACCCUCGUCCAAUGUUGCCAGCAGUUCGGCUGGGGACUCGUUGGAGACCGCCGGGGUCAACUCGGAGGAAGGUGGGGAUGAGGUCAAGUCAUCAUGCCCCUCAUGUCCAGGGCUUCACGCAUGCUACAAUGGCCGGUACAAAGAGUUGCGAGCCUGUGAGGGUGAGCGAAUCUCGGAAAGCCGGUCUCAGUUCGGAUUGGGGUCUGCAACUCGACCCCAUGAAGUCGGAGUCGCUAGUAAUCGCAGAUCAGCAACGCUGCGGUGAAUACGUUCCCGGGCCUUGUACACACCGCCCGUCAAGUCACGAAAGUUGGUAACACCCAAAGCCGGUGGCCUAACCCUUUUGGGAGGGAGCCGUCUAAGGUGGGAUUGGCGAUUGGGACUAAGUCGUAACAAGGUAGCCGUACCGGAAGGUGCGGCUG
rnacentral:rRNA from 1 species